UGUGAACUCGAAGAGUAGGGCGGGACACGUGGUAUCCUGUCUGAAUAUGGGGGGACCAUCCUCCAAGGCUAAAUACUCCUGACUGACCGAUAGUGAACCAGUACCGUGAGGGAAAGGCGAAAAGAACCCCGGCGAGGGGAGUGAAAAAGAACCUGAAACCGUGUACGUACAAGCAGUGGGAGCACCUUCGGGUGUGACUGCGUACCUUUUGUAUAAUGGGUCAGCGACUUAUAUUCUGUAGCAAGGUUAACCGUAUAGGGGAGCCGCAGGGAAACCGAGUCUUAACUGGGCGUUAAGUUGCAGGGUAUAGACCCGAAACCCGGUGAUCUAGCCAUGGGCAGGUUGAAGGUUGGGUAACACUAACUGGAGGACCGAACCGACUAAUGUUGAAAAAUUAGCGGAUGACUUGUGGCUGGGGGUGAAAGGCCAAUCAAACCGGGAGAUAGCUGGUUCUCCCCGAAAGCUAUUUAGGUAGCGCCUCGUGAACUCAUCUUCGGGGGUAGAGCACUGUUUCGGCUAGGGGGUCAUCCCGACUUACCAACCCGAUGCAAACUACGAAUACCGAAGAAUGUUAUCACGGGAGACACACGGCGGGUGCUAACGUCCGUCGUGAAGAGGGAAACAACCCAGACCGCCAGCUAAGGUCCCAAAGUCAUGGUUAAGUGGGAAACGAUGUGGGAAGGCACAGACAGCCAGGAUGUUGGCUUAGAAGCAGCCAUCAUUUAAAGAAAGCGUAAUAGCUCACUGGUCGAGUCGGCCUGCGCGGAAGAUGUAACGGGGCUAAACCAUGCACCGAAGCUGCGGCAGCGACACUAUGUGUUGUUGGGUAGGGGAGCGUUCUGUAAGCCUGCGAAGGUGUGCUGUGAGGCAUGCUGGAGGUAUCAGAAGUGCGAAUGCUGACAUAAGUAACGAUAAAGCGGGUGAAAAGCCCGCUCGCCGGAAGACCAAGGGUUCCUGUCCAACGUUAAUCGGGGCAGGGUGAGUCGACCCCUAAGGCGAGGCCGAAAGGCGUAGUCGAUGGGAAACAGGUUAAUAUUCCUGUACUUGGUGUUACUGCGAAGGGGGGACGGAGAAGGCUAUGUUAGCCGGGCGACGGUUGUCCCGGUUUAAGCAUGUAGGCUGAUUGUCCAGGCAAAUCCGGAUAAUCAAGGCUGAGGUGUGAUGACGAGGCACUACGGUGCUGAAGUAACAAAUGCCCUGCUUCCAGGAAAAGCCUCUAAGCAUCAGGUAACAUUAAAUCGUACCCCAAACCG
rnacentral:rRNA from 1 species